rnacentral:rRNA from 1 species
GACGAGGGGUCCAAGCGUUGUUCGGAAUUAUUGGGCGUAAAGCGGGUGUAGGUGGCUCUAUAAGUCAGGAGUGAAAUCCCCAAGCUUAACUUGGGAAGUGCUUUUGAUACUGCAGAGCUUGAAUGUGGGAGAGGUUAAUAGAAUUCCAGGUGUAGUGGUGAAAUACGUAGAUAUCUGGAGGAACACCGGUGGCGAAGGCGGCAUCCUGGACCAAUUCUGACGCUGAGGAGCGAAAGCCAGGGGAGCAAACGGG